CACCGGAGGGCCACGAUGGAGGUCCCGCCCCGGCUUUCCCAUGUGCCGCCGCCAUUGUUCCCCUCCGCUCCCGCUACUUUAGCCUCCCGCAGCCUCUCCCACUGGCGGCCACGAGCGCCGCGGCAGCUCGCUCCGCUCCUCCCUUCGCUCGCUCCCAGCUCCGCCCGACAGGGGGCGCGCCGAGCCCAGCGCCACGUCACCGCCCAGCAGCCCUCCCGAUUGGCGGGCGGGGCGGCUAUAAAGGGAGGGCGCAGGCGGCGCCCGGAUCUCUUCCGCCGCCAUUUUAAAUCCAGCUCCAUACAACGCUCUGCCGCUGCUGCUGCCGGGACUCGAACUGCGCGCCAGCACCUCCCGGCCGACAGCUCCGCCACCAUGGAGGACGUGAACGAGUAUAGCAACAUAGAGGAAUUUGCAGAGGGAUCCAAAAUCAACGCGAGCAAGAAUCAGCAGGAUGACGGUAAAAUGUUUAUUGGAGGCUUGAGCUGGGAUACAAGCAAGAAAGAUCUGACUGAAUAUUUGUCUCGAUUUGGGGAAGUUGUAGACUGCACAAUUAAAACAGAUCCAGUCACCGGAAGAUCAAGAGGAUUUGGAUUUGUGCUUUUCAAAGAUGCUGCUAGUGUUGAUAAGGUUUUGGAACUGAAGGAACACAAGCUGGAUGGCAAAUUGAUAGACCCUAAAAGGGCCAAAGCUUUAAAAGGAAAGGAACCUCCCAAAAAGGUUUUUGUUGGUGGCUUGAGUCCAGAUACUUCCGAAGAACAAAUUAAAGAAUAUUUUGGAGCCUUUGGUGAGAUUGAAAAUAUCGAACUUCCCAUGGAUACAAAAACAAAUGAAAGAAGAGGUUUUUGUUUUAUCACAUACACAGACGAGGAGCCUGUAAAGAAAUUGUUGGAAAGCAGAUACCAUCAAAUUGGUUCUGGGAAGUGUGAAAUCAAAGUUGCCCAACCCAAAGAGGUAUAUAGGCAGCAACAGCAACAACAAAAAGGAGGCAGAGGUGCUGCAGCUGGUGGACGAGGUGGUGCUAGAGGUCGUGGCCGAGGUCAGGGCCAAAACUGGAACCAAGGAUUUAAUAACUAUUAUGAUCAAGGAUAUGGAAAUUACAAUAGUGCUUAUGGUGGUGAUCAAAACUAUAGUGGUUAUGGCGGCUAUGAUUAUACCGGGUAUAACUAUGGGAACUAUGGAUAUGGACAGGGAUAUGCAGACUACAGUGGCCAACAGAGCACUUACGGCAAGGCAUCUCGAGGGGGUGGCAAUCACCAAAACAAUUAUCAGCCAUAUUAAAGGAGGGCAUUGGAGAAAACAGCGGGAACUUCAUUGCAGGCCGUGUGUCACCCUGACCACGUCUAUCUCUGGGGGUCGCACGUUGCGGGCAGAGCGCAAGGCAUACACCAGAAAACGCUGUCCUGUGGAGGAGAUUGCUAAAGUAACCCAUCUUGCAGGACAACAUUGAAGAUUGGUCUUCUGUUGCUCUAAGAUGAUUAUUUUGUAAAAGACUUUCUAGUGUACAAGACACAAGUGUCCAACUGUAUAUAGCUGCCAAUUAGUUUUCUUUGUUUUUACUUUGUCUUUUGCUAUCUGUGUUAUGAUUCAAUGUGGAUUUGUGUUUAUACAAAUUUUAUUUGUAUGAUUUCAUGUUAAACCUCAAAUAAAUGCUUCCUUAUGUGAUUGUUUUUCUGUGUCAGGUACUAAAUAGCUCUGUAAAAGUGGUUUUAAAUAAGCAAUAAUUAAGGCAUGGUAUAUUUUGUAAGGAGUAUUGGUCCAUAAGGAGGAACUGUGGUCCUUAUGAAUAGCCAGCUACAGUGUCACCCUGUUGCCCAUCUUUGUUAGAUGUAUUAUCUUCUCCCAGUGUUCUUUUCCCUGUUAACUGAGGUGUCAUGGAUGUCUCCAUGUCAUAAUCACUUGUGAUUAGUGGAAGCUUUCUAGUAGACCGUGAGUCUUCUAAGGAUUAUAUUCUGAAGAAAAGUACCCCUUUAAUGACACAAAGCAUGUUGAUAGCUCCUUUUAUGAAUACUAAUAAUUUUGCUUUGUUCCUGUCUCUGGAAAGCUGUUUGUUAUGAUUUGCUAAAUAGUCUUAAUCUGGUCUGUUACACCUUUAAUCAUAAUACCAUGACUUUAAUUGUUCUCUUGGUAAGGCCAGAUAUACCUGGGGGAAGCACUGUUACACUGAUAGGAGCUACAGUUUUGAGAGUUACAAAAAUAGUUACAUUAUCACACAUGGAUUUUGGCAAAUAAGUUUGAAGUUAUUAAAAUUAGAGCAAAAAUUAGGUUAAGGUAUUUGAAGUAAUGGCUAUGUAAAUUAGUUGCAUUCUGUUAUAUCACAGCAAGCACCAAACCGAACAGUUCUCCAUUAGAAUAUUCUUAAGAAACUAUAUCAGGUGUUAACUGUUAAUGUGGUGUGAAGUCUUAGGAAAAGCCAUGGUAGUAGAUUUUGUUUUCUAAUGCAGUUAGUGCAUGAGCUGAGUAGCUAAGCAUAUCCAUAUUCAGACAUAGGCAGGAAUAAUGGGAAAUGGUAUGCUUUUAGUCCCAUAUUAAUGAAAAGCCUAAGUGUGACCAUGUCAUUAAAACAUCUUCCUGGUGCAUUCGAAGCAGUUUUUGCUCUAGAUUUUGGAGGAUUUCUUGGCUAAAUCCAAGCUUUGAAUUUUACAUUAAAUGUAGUUACUGGUUUUCUAAAUUUGUCUAUUGGUUUCAUGUUUGCUACUAGGAUUGGCAUACGUGUUCACAUGUGGAAUAGUUGACCUUAAAGUGUAAACUUUUUAUGCAGUUUUUAUUUGGCGCCUGCAACUUUGUUCCAAUGAUGUUUGUACUUGCUGGGCUAUCAAGUUGCAAUGCUCUUGGCCUGUUUUGUUCCUGUUUUCCUAUUUUGACCUUAAGUCUAGGCCAAGUACUAGUGUUGGCCAUUGCAAGGGAUUCUGUUUAUUCUUUAAACAUAACAACCCUAGGAAACAAAAGGGACAUUUCAUUUUAAGUUACGUUGUCAAAGUAAGUGCAGUGUCUUUAGGGUAGUGAAUCCUGUAAGUUGAAGUUUAUGAUUAGGUGACAAGUUGACACUGAGUUUGUCCUUUCCCUGAUCAAAAAUGAAUAAAGGCUUUUUAAACAAAAUCCAAACUCUUCAAUCAAGUCUUAAUACAUAUCACUUAAGAAAUACACUACAUCUAGAGAUGACUGACAUCUUUUGCAAAGAAUUGGAGGGGGA